GCGCCCAUAGCUCAAUUGGAUAGAGCGUCGGCCUGCGGAGCCGAAGGUUAGUGGUUCGAUCCCACUUGGGCGCA
rnacentral:tRNA from 8 species